GCGCCGGUGGUGUAAGGCGAACAUCGCUGCCCGGAAAGCAGAAGAUGCGGGUUCGAGUCCCGCCUGGCUCA
rnacentral:tRNA from 1 species